rnacentral:rRNA from 1 species
UUCCGGUUGAUCCUGCCAGAGGUCAUUGCUAUCGGAGUCCGAUUUAGCCAUGCUAGUCGCACGGGUUCAGCCCCGUGGCGAAUAGCUCCGUAACACGUGGCCAAUCUACCCUACAGACAGGCAUAACCUCGGGAAACUGAGGCUAAUUCCUGAUACCACUCCCACGCUGGAACGCCGGGAGUGAGAAACGUCCCGACGCUGUAGGAUGAGGCUGCGGCCGAUUAGGUAGACGGUGGGGUAACGGCCCACCGUGCCAAUAAUCGGUACGGGUUGUGAGAGCAAGAACCCGGAGACGGAAUCUGAGACAAGAUUCCGGGCCCUACGGGGCGCAGCAGGCGCGAAACCUUUACACUGCACGACAGUGCGAUAGGGGGACUCCGAGUGCGGAGGCAUAGUGCCUUCGCUUUUGUACACCCUAAGGCGGUGUACGAAUAAGAGCUGGGCAAGACCGGUGCCAGCCGCCGCGGUAAUACCGGCAGCUCGAGUGAUGACCGAUCUUAUUGGGCCUAAAGCGUUCGUAGCCGGCCGAGCAAGUUCGUCGGGAAAUCUACCAGCUCAACUGGUAGGCGUCCGGCGAAAACUGCCCGGCUUGGGACAGGGAGACUCGAAGGGUACGUCCGGGGUAGGAGUGAAAUCCUGUAAUCCUGGACGGACCACCGAUGGCGAAAGCACUUCGAGAGAACUGAUCCGACGGUCAGGAACGAAAGCUGGGGUCUCGAACCGGAUUAGAUACCCGGGUAGUCCCAGCUGUAAACGAUGUUCGCUAGGUGCGACGCAGACUACGAGUCUGUGUUGUGCCGUAGGGAAGCCGAGAAGCGAACCGCCUGGGAAGUACGUCCGCAAGGAUGAAACUUAAAGGAAUUGGCGGGGGAGCACUACAACCGGAGGAGCCUGCGGUUUAAUUGGACUCAACGCCGGACAUCUCACCAGCCCCGACUGUUCGAAUGACGCUCAGUGUGAUGAGCUUAGCAGACGAUCAGAAGAGGAGGUGCAUGGCCGCCGUCAGCUCGUACCGUGAGGCGUCCUGUUAAGUCAGGCAACGAGCGAGACCCGCAUCCCUAAUUGCCAGCAA